rnacentral:rRNA from 1 species
UAGGGAAUCUUCGGCAAUGGACGAAAGUCUGACCGAGCAACGCCGCGUGAGUGAAGAAGGUUUUCGGAUCGUAAAACUCUGUUGUUAGAGAAGAACAAGUAGGAGAGUAACUGCUCUUACCUUGACGGUAUCUAACCAGAAAGCCACGGCUAACUACGUGCCAGCAGCCGCGGUAAUACGUAGGUGGCAAGCGUUAUCCGGAUUUAUUGGGCGUAAAGCGAGCGCAGGCGGUUUCUUAAGUCUGAUGUGAAAGCCCCCGGCUCAACCGGGGAGGGUCAUUGGAAACUGGGAGACUUGAGUGCAGAAGAGGAGAGUGGAAUUCCAUGUGUAGCGGUGAAAUGCGUAGAUAUAUGGAGGAACACCAGUGGCGAAGGCGACUCUCUGGUCUGUAACUGACGCUGAGGCUCGAAAGCGUGGGGAGCAAACA